UACGUAGGGUGCAAGCGUUGUCCGGAAUUAUUGGGCGUAAAGAGCUCGUAGGCGGUUUGUCGCGUCGGCUGUGAAAACCCGAGGCUCAACCUCGGGCCUGCAGUCGAUACGGGCAAACUAGAGUGUGGUAGGGGAGACUGGAAUUCCUGGUGUAGCGGUGAAAUGCGCAGAUAUCAGGAGGAACACCGGUGGCGAAGGCGGGUCUCUGGGCCGAUACUGACGCUGAGGAGCGAAAGCGUGGGGAGCGAACAGG
rnacentral:rRNA from 1 species